GGAUGUAUAGCUCAGAUGGUUAGAGCACCCGUUUCGCAUUGGGUUGUCGUACACGGGAGGUCGACGGUUCGAGCCCGCCUAGGUUCA
rnacentral:tRNA from 1 species